UACGUAGGGCGCAAGCGUUUAUCCGGAAUUAUUGGGCGUAAAGAGCUCGUAGGCGGUUUGUCGUGUCUGCCGUGAAAGUCCGGGGCUCAACUCCGGAUCUGCGGUGGGUACGGGGCAGACUAGAGUGAUGUAGGGGGAGACUGGAAUUCCUGGUGUAGCGGUGAAAUGCGCAGAUAUCAGGAGGAACACCGAUGGCGAAGGCAGGUCUCUGGGCAUUAACUGACGCUGAGGAGCGAAAGCAUGGGGGAGCGAACAGG
rnacentral:rRNA from 1 species